CCAAUACUCAAGAAGUUUGCCCCGAUCUAUAUAAUCAAUCAUAAAAACAAGGAAAUGUUAUUCAUUAACUUUAAGCAAUUUUUAUAGAAAUCGAUUAUGUACAGAUUAGGUACAUCCCUUUAGCUGUCACUCAACUAACAUUGAUUUAAAUUGUUGGACUGUUACUGUUAGUAUGUUUUGGUUUUGUUGCAUCGAGUUGAGCAUUUGUUCCUCUGUUACUAACUACUAAUCCUAAAGUACAACACCGCCGUUCGUGUGAAUCUAGUGUUAAAUAAGACGUUAAUAUUCGUGAUUUUCGACAUGGCUACUGCUAGAAGACAAUGUUUGAAUUGUUCUUUGAUGUUAGCGCCAUUUAUGCGCAGACACAUUCUGCCGGACAUUCCCGAUAAUAUCUUAGCCAUUUUACGGGCUUGGAUUACACCUACACCGCUUUCAAGUGAAGACAUAGUGUGUGAUAAUUGUUACACUUUGUUACUAAGUGCAAGUGAGAGCCAAGAACCCGUAAUGCCCGCACUUGGGCAUACAAGUGUCUUUGUUGUUGAUGUUGUCAAGUUGUGGAAUUUCAAUGUUGAGAUCCAGAACUCAUACUGUACCACUUGAUAGUCCACAAAGAAAUCAUAUAUUAUCAUGGGUACCAUCACAUCAGGUAAAUAGAUUGGUCAGAGUUUGCCGUGCAUGUUGGAUGGCUUCUACUAGGACUAUUCAAAGGCAAUAAGGCCAAAUGGCACGUAUCAGAUAGAAGUGUCCGAAGAAAUUGAAGAAGACUUGCCGUUAAUAUUAGGAGCCAACAAGUAUUUAGUUCGUGGGAGAAUAAAGUCAAGACAUUAUCCAGACAUUAUUAUUAAGACAUGUAUCCAGCAAAAUGUACUAUACAUACAUGUUGAUAAAUAAGGAUGAAAAUGUCAGAGACACAUUAGACGCCUUAUCUGGUUAUUAUUGCUCAUGUCUCGUUGGAAAGCGAACAGUCGGUUGUUGUGUGCAUGUUAUGUGUAUUUUGUGGUACUUGAGCUGGGCCCGUUAUAAUGAUGUAAGGGCAUCAGCUCCAAGUCUUGACUAUAUAUUUUUUGAUUAAAUAAUAACGAAACAUAAAGUGUUUUAUUUGUCCUUUAAAUAG